GAGAGGCAUACCAGGGGAACUGAAACAUCUAAGUACCCUGAGGAAAAGAAAACAAUCAGUGAUUCCGUAAGUAGCGGCGAGCGAACGCGGAGAAGCCCAAACCAGAAGGUUCGCCUUCUGGGGUUGUAGGGCGUCUCACAUGGAGUUACAAAAGACG
rnacentral:rRNA from 1 species